AGAAAGGAAAAUAGGCUGAGCAAGGACGGAAAGAAGCGAUGGGGAGGGGAGCAGAGGAAGUUAGGAAGGAUAUGGUACAACACCUAAGAUUACGCCUUUCAUGUCUAGGACAGCUUUGAGAAAAAGGAAUUCCUCACAGCAGGGAUUCUUUACAAAGUAUCAGUACCGAUGAGGUGACUCAGGGAAACCUUCCUAGGGUAAGCUAAAAGACCUUAACCUUUUUUGUAUCAGGGACUCCCUUGGCAAUC
rnacentral:lncRNA from 1 species